ACACAAUCACUCUCGACCCAAUCAAACGAAAGUCUAGAAGGCCGCCCGCCUCUGUUUCUCCUCAAAAUUAUGCCGUUUGCAGCCGACAUAAUUUUCUUAGCCGAAAUAGACGCCACUUCAGUCACUCACUCCACUUUAGGAAUUAAAAUAAUUCAAUCGCUGACUUUCGCGAUAAAUCACGCCUCUCGCGUCUUACCUUCCUAAGGUUUGCCAAGCUUAAGGUUUCUAGGUCCCAACGACCUAAUUCUAAGUUUUGAUACCAACUUAAUCUGUCAUGUCCCGAAUUAUACGUUUUUCCGGGCACGCCAACAGAUCCGCCGUAUAUAUAGGAAUUUGCCCUAUAUACGAAGCGAUAGCUGUACCUGUAAACAAAACCAAGCUACAACCACCAGGUAAAGAGCUGCUAAACUGAACUGAAGGUUGUUUGUGUAAAUAAUGAGAAAAGAGAAGGGCGUGAUAGAUUUAAAUUUUGAAAUUCAAAUGUGGCUAAGUCGAAUUCAAUUCAAGUCCAGUUUGAAUCCGAACCUAAGCCCGAAUAUAAACCCACCCUAAAUUUAUCUGCGUAUUGGUGGACCCCUAUUAUUAUUAUUUUCUUUCUCUCACAU
rnacentral:lncRNA from 1 species